GUUUGGCAUGAUGGUACAUGCAUGUAAUCCUCGAUUUUGGGAAGGCUGAAACUAGUGGAUCUCUUGAGACCCAGGAGUUCUGAGCUGCAGUGGUCUAAGCCUGUCAGGUUUCUAAGCUAAGUCUGGCACAAGUAUUGGGAAUACUCAAAAUUGGGGCCCCACCAGGUUGUCUAAAAAGGGACAGACUGGCCCGGGUUGGAAAUGGAGCAGGUCAAAAUCCCUGUGCUAAUCAGUAGUAGGAUCAGGCCUAUGAAUGACCUUCAGCCUAGGCUGAACAUUUUCAGCCUAGGCUAAAUGGGAAGAUCCAAUUUUA
rnacentral:SRP_RNA from 1 species